ACAGGCCUUAUUAAGGGGUUAAACAGGCCUUAUUAAGGGGUUAAACAGGCCUUAUUAAGGGGUUAUAGAGGACUUAAGUUAUAGAUCUUACAGUGCCUUCAUAAAGUAUUCACAACCCUUGAUUUGUGUCAUACUUUGUUGUGUUACUGCCUGAAAUUAAAAUGGAUUUAAUUUUGAGAUUUUGUGUCACUGGUCUACACACACACACACACACACACACAAUACCCCAUAAUGUCAAAGUGGAAUUAUGUUUAUAGACAUUUUUACAAAUGAAUAAAUAAUAAAAAGCUAACAAAAAGAGAGAGAGAGAGACGUGAAUAGCGGACAACCUGAGCUCAUCAGACAUGUCUCACACCACUGACUGAGAACAAUGAUGAACAACAGAGCAGCUCAGAGAAUUGGGCUGCUGACAGACUGUACUGAGAUACAAGGCCUAGGUAGGCCUGGCUACAACAGGCUGCUGACAGACUGUACUGAGAUACAAGGCCUAGGUAGGCCUGGCUACAACAGGCUGCUGACAGACUGUACUGAGAUACAAGGCCUAGGUAGGCCUGGCUACAACAGGCUGCUGACAGACUGUACUGAGAUACAAGGCCUAGGUAGGCCUGGCUACAACAGGCUGCUGACAGACUGUACUGAGAUACAAGGCCUAGGUAGGCCUGGCUACAACAGGCUGCUGACAGACUGUACUGAGAUACAAGGCCUAGGUAGGCCUGGCUACAACAGGCUGCUGACAGACUGUACUGAGAUACAAGGCCUAGGUAGGCCUGGCUACAACAGACUGCUGACAGACUGUACUGAGAUACAAGGCCUAGGUAGGCCUGGCUACAACAGGCUGCUGACAGACUGUACUGAGAUACAAGGCCUAGGUAGGCCUGGCUACAACAGGCUGCUGACAGACUGUACUGAGAUACAAGGCCUAGGUAGGCCUGGCUACAACAGGCUGCUGACAGACUGUACUGAGAUACAAGGCCUAGGUAGGCCUGGCUACAACAGGCUGCUGACAGACUGUACUGAGAUACAAGGCCUAGGUAGGCCUGGCUACAACAGACUGCUGACAGACUGUACUGAGAUACAAGGCCUAGGUAGGCCUGGCUACAACAGGCUGCUGACAGACAGAUUGUACUGAGAUACUAGGAAGAGACAAGCCAGGCUACAGCAGACUGCUGACAGGCAGAUUGUACUGAGAUACUAGGAAGAGACAGGCCAGGCUACAACAGACUGCAUUAGCUAUAACAUCACAACCUGGCAUCUUUCCUCACAAGCCCCCCUCUGCCUGUCAGAUGUUUAUGCCAUCUUGACAGCCUCAGGAGGAAACUAUUGCCAUUAAAAGGUUGGUUAGAAAAUGUAUAGCAGCAUAAUUUUAUUCACAAGCUAAGAUAGCUGCUAGCAUUUAGCCACCCAGGAGCACAAUGUCAUUUACUAGCUAGAUGUUAACUGCUAGCAUUUAGCCACCCAGGAGCACAAUGUCAUUUACUAGCUAGAUGUUAACUGCUAGCAUUUAGCCACCCAGGAGCACAAUGUCAUUUACUAGCUAGAUGUUAACUGCUA